rnacentral:rRNA from 1 species
UACGAAGGGGACUAGCGUUGUUCGGAAUUACUGGGCGUAAGCGCUCGUAGGCGGAAUUGUCAGUCAGAGGUGAAAUCCCGGGGCUCAACCUCGGAACUGCCUUUGAUACAGCAAUUCUCGAGUCCGAUAGAGGUGAGUGGAAUUCCUAGUGUAGAGGUGAAAUUCGUAGAUAUUAGGAAGAUCACCGGUGGCGAAGGCGGCUCACUGGAUCGGUACAGACGCUGAGGUGCGAAAGCGUGGGGAGCAAACGGG